rnacentral:tRNA from 2 species
ACUUUUAAAGGAUGGAAGUUAUCCGUUGGUCUUAGGAGCCAAAAAAU